rnacentral:rRNA from 1 species
GACUCCUACGGGAGGCAGCAGUGGGGAAUAUUGCACAAUGGGCGCAAGCCUGAUGCAGCCAUGCCGCGUGUGUGAAGAAGGCCUUCGGGUUGUAAAGCACUUUCAGCGGGGAGGAAGGCGUUAAGGUUAAUAACCUUCGAUUGACGUUACCCGCAGAAGAAGCACCGGCUAACUCCGUGCCAGCAGCCGCGGUAAUACGGAGGGUGCAAGCGUUAAUCGGAAUUACUGGGCGUAAAGCGCACGCAGGCGGUCUGUCAAGUCGGAUGUGAAAUCCCCGGGCUCAACCUGGGAACUGCAUUCGAAACUGGCAGGCUAGAGUCUUGUAGAGGGGGGUAGAAUUCCAGGUGUAGCGGUGAAAUGCGUAGAGAUCUGGAGGAAUACCGGUGGCGAAGGCGGCCCCCUGGACAAAGACUGACGCUCAGGUGCGAAAGCGUGGGGAGCAAACAGGAUUAGAUACCCUGGUAGUCCACGCCGUAAACGAUGUCGAUUUGGAGGUUGUGCCCUUGAGGCGUGGCUUCCGGAGCUAACGCGUUAAAUCGACCGCCUGGGGAGUACGGCCGCAAGGUUAAAACUCAAAUGAAUUGACGGGGGCCCGCACAAGCGGUGGAGCAUGUGGUUUAAUUCGAUGCAACGCGAAGAACCUUACCUGGUCUUGACAUCCACAGAACUUUCCAGAGAUGGAUUGGUGCCUUCGGGAACUGUGAGACAGGUGCUGCAUGGCUGUCGUCAGCUCGUGUUGUGAAAUGUUGGGUUAAGUCCCGCAACGAGCGCAACCCUUAUCCUUUGUUGCCAGCGGUCCGGCCGGGAACUCAAAGGAGACUGCCAGUGAUAAACUGGAGGAAGGUGGGGAUGACGUCAAGUCAUCAUGGCCCUUACGACCAGGGCUACACACGUGCUACAAUGGCAUAUACAAAGAGAAGCGACCUCGCGAGAGCAAGCGGACCUCAUAAAGUAUGUCGUAGUCCGGAUUGGAGUCUGCAACUCGACUCCAUGAAGUCGGAAUCGCUAGUAAUCGUAGAUCAGAAUGCUACGGUGAAUACGUUCCCGGGCCUUGUACACACCGCCCGUCACACCAUGGGAGUGGGUUGCAAAAGAAGUAGGUAGCUUAACCUUCGGGAGGGCGCUUACCACUUUGUGAUUCAUGACUGGGGUGAAGUCGUAACAAGGUAACCGUAGGGGAACCUGCGGUUGGAUCACCUCCUUACCUUAAAGAA